CACGUAGGGUGCGAGCGUUGUCCGGAAUUAUUGGGCGUAAAGAGCUCGUAGGCGGUGUGUCGCGUCGGCCGUGAAAACCUGCAGCUUAACUGUGGGCGUGCGGUCGAUACGGGCAUCACUGGAGUUCGGCAGGGGAGACUGGAAUUCCUGGUGUAGCGGUGAAAUGCGCAGAUAUCAGGAGGAACACCGGUGGCGAAGGCGGGUUCUCUGGGCCGAUUCAUGACGCUGAGAAGCGAAAGCGUGGGGAGCAAACAGGAUUAGAACCGUACCGUA
rnacentral:rRNA from 1 species